AAAGGCUGUAUCUGGCAUUUUCCUAGGUCCUUAGUUUCCACCUUCUAGACAUCCAGCAGGAGUGACCAUGCCCAGCCCCACACCUGAAAUGGGACUCCCUUGUAGAGCAGCUGAGACAUCUACAGACAGAAGAGUGCUCUGGUGAGACAGGCCACAGGGGUCCCCAGGGAGGGUUGGGGGCCAGAAGAUUCUGAAGGCUUCCAGUCUUGGGCUCUGUGGUUCCUCAAAGAGGUUAGGUUUAACUAAAACCAGGCCUCCCCUCCCACGAUUCAAAGAGUGGGUGAGUGCUCUGCGUCAGGAACUCUGAUCUGGACCUAUUUUUUCAUUUAGGUCACCAAGAGACAACCCCUAACCCCCAAGCUAGGGAUGGUGCAAGCUCUGGCAUGAGAUUUUCUUCUAGCAACGUGAUGCUUACAGGGACAGGUAGAAAAGCUGGUGAUCAGGCCUGCUGUCCUCCGGGUAAAGACAGUGGGCCACCCACGCUCUGAGAGGCCGGUGGUGCCAGGCCACAACACUGGGUGCCUGUACCCCUGGCUCUGCAGACACCGGUCAUGGAGGCCCUCCCCUCUCCAUAUUACCCUCUUGCUGCUCCUAUAUUUCUUCUAGUUAUUAAACAAUUUGGGCCAUUUUUCUGUGCAUCCGAUCUGACAUUUUUGCUCUCAGAUGAAACAUGAUAAAGGAAGCCAAGCCGCCAGUAUUCCUGGAGGGGACCUUGGGUGCUGGGUCUUGGGCUCCAGGGCCCUAAUGGGACUGAACCAGAAGGAGCCAGGGAAGGGCAAACACUGGGGCUGAGGCCCUAGGACCCAAUGGCCAUUGGUGGCCGGGACUUAUGGCCCCAACACACCCUGUCCUCAGGCCACAGACACCAUGGGCUUCGGUCAGGUCCCAGCCUCCCAGUAGUGUCCUGGUACUAGCAGGUGCUGACCCCUGAGCCACAAGCACAAUUCUGGGUUUUGGGUUUUGGUAAAACCACCUCAGGGACAGAGUUCUGGGGUUGGGUUUGGCAGGAACCAUGGUGCCUCCCAGGGAUGGUGUGUCACUCCUACUUGCCACAAAAUGUGCACACAGGCUGUCCCACUGUCCAGCCCAUCCUGCUGGACAGGAUGGAGGAAGUCAGGGAACAGGUAGGAUCUCCCAGGUCCAUCGAAACACCUGCUUUGUCCAGUUUUGACUGGGUCUUUGGGCACUACUGGGCCAUCCCAACUGUCCACAGGGCCCUCAAUAACGUGCAUUGCACCUGACAUCUCCCAGCAGUGCUCAGCAGCCCCUGCUGACCAGGUCCAGGUCCCUGCUGGCCAUAUCCCACACAUCAGGUCCUCCCUGACCACACUCUCACUGAUUAGAACCCCAUGACCAGGCCCCACUAACCAGGCCCUUGCUGCUAGGCCAACAGUGUCCAGGACCCCACUGACCAGGACCUUACUGACCAGGGCCUCACUGACCAGGUUCUUACUGACCAGGGCCUCACUGACCAGGUUCCACUGAUCAUGACCCCAUUGCCUGGCACCAUAGAUGAGGCCCCACUGACCAGGCCUCCAGGGAACAGGCUGCCACUGACCAGGCCCCUAUUAACCAGGCCAUAGGUGACAAGAUGCCCCUGACUGUGACCCUAGUGAGUAGGCCCCACUGAAUAGGCACCCACUGCUCAGAUCCCUGCUGACCAGGUCACCCCACAGACCACUGCUACAAGAGCCACCACUGAAUGCGCUCUCUCUGAACAGGCCGCCACUGAUUAGGUUCCACUGACCAGGCUGCGCUGACCAGGGCCCCACUGACAAGGGCCUCACUGAUGAGGACAUGGCCAGCAGGCCCUGCUGACUGGGUCCCAUGUGACCAGGCCUCCAAUGAAUAGCACCCCUUGAGCUGGUCACCAGUGACCCGGCCCAUGCUGACAAGGCCACCACUAAGCCCCAGCUGACCAGGUCUCCAUUGACAAAGUCCUGCAGCCUAGUUUUACACUGACCAGACACCAAACAAGUGGCUGCCACUAGGUCCCCACUCACCAAGACCCCACUACUAGAUCCCCCUAAUGAGACCCUCUCUAAGCAGACCCCUGCUGACCACACCCCCCAAUAAAUAGGCCUCACUGACCAAGUCCCAGCUGACUAGGUCCACUGAUGAGGCCCACACUGAUCAGGGCCCUCAUAACCAUACCAGAAGGACAAGCGACAAUGAGAUAUUUCAUAUGGCAGGAGUAGGAGCAAGACAGAGAGAGAAAGGAGGUGCCACAUCCUGUUAUACAACCAGAUCUCAUGAGAACUCACUAUCAGGAGAUCAGCAUCAAGAAGAUUAACCACUGGUGAAGGAAACACCACCCACACCACCACCCACUGUUUGCAGGCAGAAGCCUCCUGCAGAGGCAGAGCCUCUUGGGAAACUUCUACCAUGGCAGUGCAGAAGGGAAACAUGGGCUUGGAGCCCCGACACAGGAGGUCACCAUCCUCCAGACCCCAGAUUCAUAAGCCCACCAACAGUUCACAUCCUCAGUAUGGAAAAGCUACAGGCACUCCACACCAGCCUAGCCCAUGAGAGCAGACAUGGGGGCUGAAGCCUGCAAAGCUGCAGGUGCACUGCCCUAGCAGAGGUUUCCCAUGAGCCUCUGCCUCUGAAGCAGACUACUCCCCCUUCCUACUACCCACCACCCUCCCACCACCCUACUGCCAACCUACUUCCCACCCUACCCACCCCUUUUCCUUCCAACCCCAAACCCCUCCUGCCAUGAUUACAUCACCUCCCACCAGGCCCCACCUCCAACAUUAAGGAGUACAUUCCACAGGAGUUUUGGUAAAGAAACACAGCCAAACCAUAUUAUUCUGACCCUGGUACCCCAGAAUCUCAUGUCCUUCUCACAGAGCAAAAUACAUUCAUGCCUUGUCAAAAGUUUCCAAAAGUCUUAACUCAUUCCAGCAUUAACUCAAAUGUAAAAAGUUCAACAUCUCAUCUGAGACAAGUCUACAGUCCCUUGCACCUAUGAGUCCCUGAAUUUAAAAGGAUGUUCUUUUCUUUCAGGGUACAAUGAUGGUACAGGCAUUGGGUAAGCUUUCUCAAUUCAAAGGGAAGAAAUUUCCCAGGAAAAAACCACAAAUAGAACCACACACCCAAUGCAAGUCCAAAACCCAGGAGGCCAGUAUCCAUUCAAUCUCACAGCUCCAAAAUCACGAAGAGAACUCACUAGCAUAAGCACAGCAAUAAGGAGAUGGUGUUUAAUCAUUUGUGAAGGAUCCACCUCCCACCACCACUUUUCACCCCUCACCCCCACCAUAAUCCCCUCAUUCUCCCUACCCCCCACCUUCCAACCCACACUCUCCACCAUGAUUAAAUCACCCUCCACCAGGCCCCACCUUUAACUUUAUUAUUCUGUCCCUGGCUCCCAAAUCUCAUGUCCUUCUCACAUUGCAAAAUACAAUGAUGCCUUCCCUACAGUCCCCCCAAAUCUUGUAUCAUUCCAGCAUUUAUACAAAUGUCCAAAGCUUAAAGUCUCAUCUGACACAAGGCUAUACAGUCCCUUAGGCACAUAAGCCUCUGAACUAUAAAGCAAGUUAACUGCUGCCAAGCUACAAUGCUUGUGCAGGCAAUGGGUAAGCAUUCUCAACUGAAAGGAAAAAUUUUGCCAGAAAGAGCAAAACACAUAGAGGACUUACAGGCCCCAUGAAACUCCAAACCCAGAAGGCCAGUCAUUCAAUCCUACAGUUCCAAAAUCACCCUUUUUGAAACGUUGUCCCACAUCCAGGGCACAGGGACAUGAGGGCUGGGCUCUGAAGGCCUUGGGCAGCCCUGCACCUGUGGCUUUGCAGGGUUUAUGCCCCACAGCUGCCCCCAUGGACUGGGCGGGUGUUGAGUGCCUACAGCUUUUCCUGACUGAUGGUACAAGCUGUUGGUGGGUCUAUGAAUCUGGGGUCUGCAUGACGGUGGCCUCCAGUGUGGGGGCUCCAACCCCAUAUUUUCCUUCUGCACUGCCCUAGUAGAAGUUUCUUAUGAGGCUCUGCAUUUUUGGGAUGCUUUUGUCUGGUCACCCAGGCAUUUCCAUACAUCUUCCAAAGUCUACAAAAAGGCUCCCAAGCCUCUAGUCUCAUGAUCCAUCCACCUAGUGGCUUAACACUAUGAGGAAGUUACCAAGGCUUCUAGCUUGCACCCUCUGAAGCAGUGACCCAAGCUGCAUCUGUGCAUUUUCAGCCAUGGCUGGAGCUGGAGCUGCAGGGACGCAGGCAGCAGUGCCCUGAGGCUGCACAUAGAGCGGGGUCACAGGACUGGCCCAGGAAACCAUGCUUCUCUCCUAGGGCCCAGGGCCUGUGAUAGCAAGGGCUGCUGCAAAGGUCUCCGAAAUGCCGUCAAGGGCUUUUCCCUAUUGUCUUGGCUAUUAGCACUGGGCUCCUUUUCAUGCAAGUUUCUGAAGCCUUCCUGAAUUUUCCCCCUGAAAAUCAGCUUUUCUUUUUGACCACUUGGCCAGGCUGCAAAUUUUCCAAACUUUUGAGUCCUGUUUCUCAUUUAACAUAAGAGUUGGGACUCAUUUAAUAUAAGUCCCAUCCAGAGGUCAUUUUCUCAGUCACACAUCAGAGCACAGGCUGUUCAAUGCAGACAGGACACCUCUUGAGCUUUGCUUCCUAGAAGUUCAUUCCACCAGAUAUGCACUGCAUCAUCAACCUCAAGUUUAAAGUUUCACAGAUCUCCAGGGCAGGGUCACCAUGCAGCCAUGUUCUUUGCUACAGCAAAAUAAAAGUAACCUUGGCUUCUGUUCCCAGGAAGUUCCUCAUUUUUAUCUGAGACCUUCCAAGUCUGGUUUUCACUGGCCAUUUUCCUGUCAGCCUUCUGAUCACAAGUAGUUAACAAUUCUUUACAAAGAUCCAAACUUUUCUUCAUUUUCCUGUCUUCGAAGCCCUCCAAACUCUCCUGAUCUCUGUCUGCCACCCCCUUCUGAACCUGCUUCUACAUUAUCAGCUAUCUUUGUCACAGCCUGGCAAUGUGGUAAAGGAAGACAAGUCCAUUUUCAGGGAGAAAAUUCAAGAAGCCCUCAGAUACUUGAAUGAAAAGAAGCUGAGUACUGACUCCCAAGACAAUAGGGAAAAGGCCUUGAAGACAUUUCAUACAUCCACUUCCCAGUACUAAUUUUCUCUAUGAUCAUAAAGAACCUCAUGAUUCUGCAGGCUGUAAGGAAACAUACUGGCUUCUGAAUCUGGGAGGACUCAGGAAGCCUCCCAAUCAUACCAGAAUGUCAAGGGGCAAUGAGAUGAUUCACGUGGCAGGAGUAGGAGAAAGACAGAGAGAGGAAAGAGGUGCCAUGCCCUAUUAUACAAGCAGAUCUCAUGAGAACUCACAAGGUCAGCAUCAAAAAGAUGGUGUUUAACCAUUGGUGAAGGAUUUGCCCCCCACCCCCAACUCCCACUGUUUCCAGGCAGAAGCCUGAUGCAGAGGCAGAUCCUCUUGGAAAACCUCUACUAGGGAAAUGUGGAAGGAAAAUAUGGGCUUGGAGCCCCCACGCAGAUGGCCACCAACCUCCAGACCCCAGAUCCAUAGACCCACCAACAGCUCACAGCCUCAGUUUGAAAAAGGUAUGGGUAGUCAACACCAGCCCACCCCAUGAGAGCAGCCACAGGGGCUAAACCCUGUAAAGUCACAGGUGCACUGUCCUAGUAGAGGUUUUCCAUGAACCACUGCCUCUGCAGCAGGUUACUCCCCCUUCCUACUACCCACCACCCUCCCAUCACCCUACAGCCAACCCAUUCCUCCCCACCCUACCCACCCUUUCUCCUUCCACCCCCAACUCCCUCCCAUCCAUGAUUAAAUCCCCUCCCCUAGGCCCCACCUUCAGCAUUUGGGAUUACAAUUCCACAUGAGUUUCACAGGGACACACAGCCAAACCAUAUUAUUCUGACCCUGAUACCCCAGAAUCUCAUGUUUUUCUCACAGAGCAAAAUACAAUCAUGCCUUUUCAAAAUUUUCCAGAAGUCUUAACUCAUUCCAAAUGUAAAAACUUCAAAGUCUCAUCUGAGACAAGGCUACCUUCUCUUCUGCCUAUGAGUCCCUGAAUUCAAAAGGGAUUUCUUUUCUUUCAAGGUGCAAUGAUAGUACAGGCAUUGGGUAAGAUUUCUCAAUCCAAAGGGAAUAAAUUUCCCAGAAAAAUAACACAAAUGCAAGUCCAAGCCCAGGAGGACAGUAUUCACUCAAUCUUAAAGCUCCAUAAUCAUCAAGAGAACUCACUAUCAUGCAGACAGCAUUAAGGAGAUAGUGUUUAACCAUUUGGGAAGGAUCCACCCCCCAUCCUCAUCUUUUGACCCCACUCCCAAAAUAAUCUCCACCAUUCUCCCCACACCCGUACCUCCAACCCCCAUGCUUCACCAUGAUUAAAUCACCUUCCACCAGGUCCCAACUUUCACAUUCCCCAUUACAAUUCCACAUGAGUAUCGGUAGGGACACAGAACCAAAUCGUAUUAUUCUGACCCUAGUUCCCCCAAAUCUCAUAUCUUUGACACACUGCAAAAUACAAUGAUGCCUUCUCUACAGUCCCCCAAAGUCUUAAGUCAUUCCAGCCUUUACUGAAGUAUCCAAAGCCCAAAGUCUUAUCUGACACAAGGCUGCAGUCCCUUCUGCCUCUGAGCCUCUGAAAUACAAAGUAAGUUAAUUACUUUCAAGGUACAAUGAUUGUACAGGCAUUGGGUAUGAAUUCCCAGCCAAAAGAAAAAACUUUGCCAGAAAGAAGCACAAAAUAUAGAUGAGACUUACAGAUCCGAUGCAAGUCAAAAACCCAGCAGGCCAGUCAUUCCAUUGUACAGCUCCAAAUCAUCACUUUUCAAUCCAAAUCCCACAUCCAGAACACAGGGGUGUGAUGGCUGGGCUCCCAAGGCCUUGGGUAGCUCUGCACCUGUGGCUUUGCAGGGUCUUUCCCCCACAGCUGCCCUCAUGGGCUGGGCUAGUGUUGAGCACUUGUAGCUUUCCACACUGAGGGUGCAAGCUGUUGGUAGGUCUAUGAAUCUGGGUUUGCAGAAUGGUGCCUCCAUGUGUGGGGGUUCCAACUCUAUAUGUUCCUUCUGUAAUGCCCUAGAAAAGCUUUCCCAUGAGGGUCUGCCUCUUGGAAAAGCUUCUGCCUGGAAACCCAGGUUUUUCUGUACAUGCUCUGGAGUCUAGACGAAGGCUCCCAAGGCUCUCCUCUUUUGCUCUGUGCACCUGCUGGCUUAACACUAUGUAGAAGCCACCAAGGCUUGCAUCUUGUACCCCUGAAGCAGUGACCCAAGCUGUGCCUGUGCAUCUUUCAGCCAUGGCUGGAGCUGGAGCUGCAGGGAUGCAGGCAGCAGUGUGCUGUGGCUGAGCACAGCAGUGGAGCCUUGCAGCUGGCCCAGGAGAACAUUCUUCUCUCUCAGGCCUUAGGGCCUGUGACAGCAAGGGCUGCUGCAAAGGUCUCUGAAAUGCCUUCAAGGCCUUUUUCCCAUUGUCUUGGCUAUUAGCACUGGACUCCAUUUUAUACAAAUUUCUAAAGCUCUCUUAGAUUUUCCCACUGAAAAUCAGGUUUUCUUUUUGACCACUUGGCCAGGCUGCAAAUUUUCCAAACUUUUAAGUUCUGCUUCUCGUUUAAAUAUAAGUUUCUACUUGAGGUCAUUUAUUUGGUCACACCGAAGACCACAGGCUUUUGGACACAGACAGGAUACCUCUUGAGCUUUGCUGCCAAAAGUUCAUGCCUAUGAUUUAGAUACACCCUAAAUCAUCACCCUCAAGUUCAAAGUUUCAUAGGUCUCCAGGUUAGGGGCAUCAUGCAGCGACGUUCUUUGCUAAGGCAAAACCAAAGUAACCUUGGCUCCUCUUUUCAGUAAAUUCCUCAUUUUCAUCUGAGACCUUGUAAGCCUGGCCUUCACUGUCCAUCCUUCUGUCACCCUUUUAAUUAUAACUAUUUAACAAGUCUCUACAAUGGUCAAAACUUCCCUUCAUCUUCCUGACUUCUUCCAAGGCCUCCAAACUUUCCAACCUCUGGCUGUUACCCUCUUGUGAUCCUGCUUUUACAUUUUCAUCCAUCCUUAUUGCAGCCUAUCAAUGCAGUAAAAAGAAGAAAUGCCCAUUUUCAGGGGAAAAAUUCACAAAGGGAUCCGAUAUCUGCAUGAAGAGAAGCUGAGUGCUGAUUGCCAAGGCAAUAAGAAAAAGGCUUUGAAGGCAUUUCAUAGCUCCACUUCCAAGCACUAAUUUUCUGUAAGAUCAUAAAGAAAAGAUGUUGAACUGGCUCAUGGUUCUGCAGGCUUUAAAGGAAUCAUAGAGAAAAGAUGUUGAACUGGCUCAUGGCUCUGCAGGCUUUAAAGGAAUCAUAGAGGCUCCUGCUCCUAGGAGGAAUCAUGAAGCCUCCCAAUCAUACCAGAAGACCAAGCAGCAAUGGGCUAUUUUAUAUGGCAGAAGUAGGAGCAAGACAGAGAAAGGAGAAGGUUCCACACUGUUAUACAAUGAGAUCUCAUUGGAACUCAGUAUCACAAGGUCAGCAUCAAGAAGAUGGUGUUUAACCAUUGGUGAAAGAUCCACCCCCUACCACCACCCCACCCCCCACUGUUUCCAGGCAGAAGCCUGUUGCAGAGGCAGAGCCUCUUGCAAAAACUUACGAGGGCAGUGCAGAAGGAAAAUAUGGGCUUGGAGCCCCCAUGCAGGAGGCCACCAUCCUCCAGAU
rnacentral:lncRNA from 10 species